GGGUGUAUAGCUCAGUGGUAGAGCACCCGCAUACGUAUCGGAAGGUCGGGGGUUCGACUCCCUCUGCCUCCA
rnacentral:tRNA from 1 species